GAGCGGCGGACGGGUGAGUAACGCGUGGGUAACCUGCCCUGUACACACGGAUAACAUACCGAAAGGUAUGCUAAUACGGGAUAACAUAUAAGAGUCGCAUGACUUUUAUAUCAAAGAUUUUUCGGUACAGGAUGGACCCGCGUCUGAUUAGCUUGUUGGCGGGGUAACGGCCCACCAAGGCGACGAUCAGUAGCCGACCUGAGAGGGUGAUCGGCCACAUUGGAACUGAGACACGGUCCAAACUCCUACGGGAGGCAGCAGUGGGGAAUAUUGCACAAUGGGGGAAACCCUGAUGCAGCGACGCCGCGUGAGCGAAGAAGUAUUUCGGUAUGUAAAGCUCUAUCAGCAGGGAAGAAAAUGACGGUACCUGACUAAGAAGCACCGGCUAAAUACGUGCCAGCAGCCGCGGUAAUACGUAUGGUGCAAGCGUUAUCCGGAUUUACUGGGUGUAAAGGGAGCGUAGACGGCUGUGUAAGUCUGGAGUGAAAACCCGGGGCUCAACCCCGGGACUGCUUUGGAAACUAUGCAGCUAGAGUGUCGGAGAGGCAAGUGGAAUUCCCAGUGUAGCGGUGAAAUGCGUAGAUAUUGGGAGGAACACCAGUGGCGAAGGCGGCUUGCUGGACGAUCACUGACGUUGAGGCUCGAAAGCGUGGGGAGCAAACAGGAUUAGAUACCCUGGUAGUCCACGCCGUAAACGAUGGACUACUAGGUGUCGGGUGUCAGAGACAUUCGGUGCCGCAGUAAACACAAUAAGUAGACCACCUGGGGGAGUACGUUCGCAAGAAUGAAACCUCAGAGGAAUUGACGGGGACCCGCACAAGCGGUGGAGCAUGUGGUUUAAUUCGAAGCAACGCGAAGAACCUUACCUGCUCUUGACAUCCCCCUGACAUCUUUUUAAUCGAAGAGUUCCUUCGGGACAGGGGAGACAGGUGGUGCAUGGUCGUCGUCAGCUCGUGUCGUGAGAUGUUGGGUUAAGUCCCGCAACGAGCGCAACCCUUAUCUUAGUAGCCAGCAUUAUGGAUGGGCACUCUAGAGAGACUGCCGGGGAUAACCCGGAGGAAGGUGGGGAUGACGUCAAAUCAUCAUGCCCCUUAUGAGCAGGGCUACACACGUGCUACAAUGGCGUAAACAAAGGGAAGCGAAGUCGCGAGGCCGAGCAAAUCUCAAAAAUAACGUCUCAGUUCGGAUUGUAGUCUGCAACUCGACUACAUGAAGCUGGAAUCGCUAGUAAUCGCGAAUCAGAAUGUCGCGGUGAAUACGUUCCCGGGUCUUGUACACACCGCCCGUCA
rnacentral:rRNA from 1 species